rnacentral:rRNA from 1 species
AUGAACGCUAGCUACAGGCUUAACACAUGCAAGUCGAGGGGCAGCAUGGUCUUAGCUUGCUAAGGCCGAUGGCGACCGGCGCACGGGUGAGUAACACGUAUCCAACCUGCCGUCUACUCUUGGACAGCCUUCUGAAAGGAAGAUUAAUACAAGAUGGCAUCAUGAGUCCGCAUGUUCACAUGAUUAAAGGUAUUCCGGUAGACGAUGGGGAUGCGUUCCAUUAGAUAGUAGGCGGGGUAACGGCCCACCUAGUCUUCGAUGGAUAGGGGUUCUGAGAGGAAGGUCCCCCACAUUGGAACUGAGACACGGUCCAAACUCCUACGGGAGGCAGCAGUGAGGAAUAUUGGUCAAUGGGCGAGAGCCUGAACCAGCCAAGUAGCGUGAAGGAUGACUGCCCUAUGGGUUGUAAACUUCUUUUAUAAAGGAAUAAAGUCGGGUAUGGAUACCCGUUUGCAUGUACUUUAUGAAUAAGGAUCGGCUAACUCCGUGCCAGCAGCCGCGGUAAUACGGAGGAUCCGAGCGUUAUCCGGAUUUAUUGGGUUUAAAGGGAGCGUAGAUGGAUGUUUAAGUCAGUUGUGAAAGUUUGCGGCUCAACCGUAAAAUUGCAGUUGAUACUGGAUAUCUUGAGUGCAGUUGAGGCAGGCGGAAUUCGUGGUGUAGCGGUGAAAUGCUUAGAUAGCACGAAGAACUCCGAUUGUGAAGGCAGCCUGCGAAGCUGCAACUGACAUUGAGGCUCGAAAGUGUGGGUAUCAAACAGGAUUAGAUACCCUGGUAGUCCACACGGUAAACGAUGAAUACUCGCUGUUUGCGAUAUACAGCAAGCGGCCAAGCGAAAGCGUUAAGUAUUCCACCUGGGGAGUACGCCGGCAACGGUGAAACUCAAAGGAAUUGACGGGGGCCCGCACAAGCGGAGGAACAUGUGGUUUAAUUCGAUGAUACGCGAGGAACCUUACCCGGGCUUAAAUUGCAGAUGAAUUACGGUGAAAGCCGUAAGCCGCAAGGCAUCUGUGAAGGUGCUGCAUGGUUGUCGUCAGCUCGUGCCGUGAGGUGUCGGCUUAAGUGCCAUAACGAGCGCAACCCUUGUUGUCAGUUACUAACAGGUUCCGCUGAGGACUCUGACAAGACUGCCAUCGUAAGAUGUGAGGAAGGUGGGGAUGACGUCAAAUCAGCACGGCCCUUACGUCCGGGGCUACACACGUGUUACAAUGGGGGGUACAGAGGGCCGCUACCACGCGAGUGGAUGCCAAUCCCCAAAACCUCUCUCAGUUCGGACUGGAGUCUGCAACCCGACUCCACGAAGCUGGAUUCGCUAGUAAUCGCGCAUCAGCCACGGCGCGGUGAAUACGUUCCCGGGCCUUGUACACACCGCCCGUCAAGCCAUGGGAGCCGGGGGUACCUGAAGUGCGUAACCGCGAGGAGCGCCCUAGGGUAAAACUGGUGACUGGGGCU